rnacentral:rRNA from 1 species
CAUCGCCAGGGAACUACGAGCCAAGCUUAAAACCCAAAGGACUUGACGGUACCCCACAUCCACCUAGAGGAGCCUGUCCUAUAAUCGAUAACCCCCGCUUAACCUCACCAUUUCUAGUUAAAUCAGCCUGUAUACCUCCGUCGUCAGCUUACCUCGUGAGCGAAAUUUAGUGAGCUUAAUGUCUCUACAUCAAUACGUCAGGUCAAGGUGCAGUAAAUGAAAUGGGAAGAGAUGGGCUACACUCUCUAACCUAGAGCAUACGAAAGACUAUAUAUGAAACCCUAGUCAGAAGGCGGAUUUAGCAGUAAAAAGGAACCAUAGUGUCCUUUUUAACCCGGCACUGGGGUGUGUACAC